rnacentral:rRNA from 1 species
UACGUAGGGCGCAAGCGUUUAUCCGGAAUUAUUGGGCGUAAAGAGCUCGUAGGCGGUUUGUCGCGUCUGCCGUGAAAGUCCGGGGCUCAACUCCGGAUCUGCGGUGGGUACGGGGCAGACUAGAGUGAUGUAGGGGGAGACUGGAAUUCCUGGUGUAGCGGUGAAAUGCGCAGAUAUCAGGAGGAACACCGAUGGCGAAGGCAGGUCUCUGGGCAUUAACUGACGCUGAGGAGCGAAAGCAUGGGGAGCGAACAGG